UUUAGACCCCAGAUCCUUCUGACUCGCAGGCCCAGGCUCUGUCCACUAGACCACGCCGCUUCUCGGGAUUGGAAGAAAUGGCAGUGAGAAUGUACCUGGCAUUGGAACUGAGACAAAAACUGGUUCCUUGGUUGCUGUAGAGAGAUUUUUGGUGAGAGUAAAUGAAAGACCGAUUUC